ensembl:lncRNA
AAGGGAAAUGAGAUGAAGAACGAGGAGAAAGAGCAAGAGGGUGAAUGCAAAAGCAGAAGGCACCCACUGCUCUGUCCUUGCCUGGCUUUUGAUGCUCUUUCUCUGGCUCUUGGACCUGCAAGUUUAAGCCCACUCUGAACUACUAGAGAGAAAAAUUCUGCUUUGGCUGAUUUUUAGAGAGAAUAAAAGCAACAAGGUGCUCUGAAGAGAGAAGCAGUAAAUGGUGUGUAACAGGUUUCCAGGUGGCUGCAUCAAAACCAGGAUUCAAUAGCCUAUACUGCCCUGGAAAGACACCAGACGUGGUGAUGUGAUGUCAAUCCCUCCAGCUCACCUUUCUCCUGGGGGUCUGUGCAGCUCCCUCUGGUCCCUCAGCUGCUGGAGGUUACCUUGGAGUCUACAAACUCUCAACACCACGACUCACUCUAUAAAUGUAAGUGCAGGGGGGGCUUUGCCAUUUUUUAGCCUCUCUUUUGAGCUAUAUUUCUAGGAGGAAGGAAAAUGUAAUGGCACAGGACCAGCCACAGACAACUGAUGAACCCCUGUGGUUUUAAAAUGAGCACUGACAGAAAAGAUGUCUACUGCCUGGUGCAACCAGCUUUUCAGAUGUGAACUGGGGGAACUGGGAAGAUCUGUGGUUCCUUUUUGGAGCUGACUGGGGAGAGGCAGAGGGGAAGAACCAGUGUGACUGCUCCAAUCUAGGACUGUUCUACCUGCUGGCCUUCAAUAGGUGAGCUGAAGGAAAAUACUGCAACUGUCAUCAAUUGUAUUGUUUUCUAAACAAUGUGAAUCUCUUUUUCUUAUUUUUUAAUCUUUGAGAAUAAAAUAGGCUCCAGAACUCAGAAACCCAGGGCAAAAUCUGUCUGUCUCUGUAUGUAAGUGCUGGACUUGCCAUGUGCUCCUAUAGGUAGAUAUCUGUGUGGCUCCACAAACUCACUAUCUUCCCUGGAGAGCUCUCAGUGUAUUUAAGUGAUCCAGAUGUGCUCCCUGGGAGGUGUGCCCCUGCUUCCAAGAAGGACUAAGAGACAGAGAUAGGUCUCAUUCUGCUUAAAUUCAGAUAUGUAACAUUUACU